GACUUUUUAUGGUCAAAGAAUCCAGCGCUUGUCGUAAUCUUUGAUUUUUAAUUAGAUAACGCUCACGUAAUCGUGAUGACGUCAGUAGAUACAAGCUGAGAAAAUGUCUCAAUAUGGACGAAGUAGAUCGCUUUUCUGCGUAAUUAAACAAUGGACGGUGUUGACAGCAGUUUACAAGGCAAUUCUCAAAGUUUAGAUAUGCGACCGUAUCAGUUUGAGCCGUUACUUGUUGAAAAUAAUCAAGAAGAAGAUAUAAAUUCGUCAUCCGAAGAGUCCGACAUUGACGAUCUUUCAAGCAAUGUCGAUCGCCUUGUAAACACAAACUGGUUCGUAUAAUAAAUAUACUUGAAACCAAACAAUUUCAGAGUUUUAUUAAUGGCAGAUAUAUGUAUAACAGUUAAGAAAAUAUAAAUUUCUGUUUUUUUUACGAUUAAUUUAACCACCGAAAAAUAGUUUGUUUACCUCUGCCCUUGAACAACGCACAGCCACUAUUAUAUAUAUACCUCGACGUUUUUCUUCUUCUGAUAUACAGUUUCAAUUUCACUUAUAUACAAAAUUACGAACUGUCAAAUAUAAUAAAUGGGCAGGGGGAAGAAAAUAUUGUCCAGCAUGUUAUAUUGUAUAGACAAACCACUUGAAGAAGUAUGGGGUAAAUCAGUCACUAGAGACAGUAAUAACAUUUUGGCAAUGGGAACAGCAAAAGUGUCCAUAUAUAUAUAUUAUUAGAUUUGAUGAGCAUAGAAAACCAAUGUAUAUAUGAAUAAGACAUCACCACAUGUAUGAUAUAUUUUUUUUAUAAAUAUACCUCCACAAUCAAUUCAUAAUUUUGAAUGGGGACACAUACUGUUGCCCCUCCCACCUUUAUCCAUGGUUAGGAUCUGCACUUGCUUAUGAUCAACCUUGGUCAAAAGUUUAUCUGUGAAACCUACUGUUGUGUUUUAACAUUUUCUAUAUUGUGUUUUGUGUACUGCUGGUUUCAUAUAAAUAAGUUUUUUGUUCAUGUUAUAGGUGUGAUUGUGGAAACUGCCAUUCCAUGACAACAACAAAUUAAUGUGUAUGCUGUUCAGACAUAUCAGCUGUAAGCUAUUUAAAGCAAACAGAUGACUUUAACUGCAUCACAGAACAUGAAAUCUUUAUUGCCAACUGCUUAAACCGUCAUGUGUUGCAAAUCAGCAUGUAUGCAUACAUGGAGCAUGUUGGUCCAUUUGACGACAAUGAACCCAUCAAUGAGUAAGUUUUGAAAUAAGUCAUGAUAGUAGUAGGCUAGGUUCAUGUUCAUGUUGGACCAAUUUCAAAUCAAUUAUUGUUAUAUUGAAUCCAUGUUCAUGAUGUUUUCGAGACAAUACUAGUGACUUCAAUAUUUUUAAUUGUACAGAGUAAGUACAAUCAUUGACAAUUCAAUAAAGAAAAUAACAUGAUGAAUUAAAAUAAUAAUUUAAUAUCACAGAUAAUUUCAUAAUUCAAAUAUCAUAGAUACAAUUUGUGUAUACAUAAUAUAUUUCAAAGCAUAUUUAACACGUAGAAAGGCCCAAGUUAUUUCAUGUCAUUAUAGUAAUAUACAUAGGUAGCAAAUAUAUACAUGGCAGUACACCUUAGGUAAUAUUUAUAAAUCCUAAAUAUUUCUUUUUAACCUAAAUACAAUACAAAAUGACAGGUACAACAGAUUUAAAAUGUUUCGGUCUUUCGAAAAUAAAAAAAAAAGUCAAUAAGUAAUUUUUCAUUAUAACUUUCAUUGUAUGUUUGUAAAUAUAUUUACAUCAGUUAAAAGUAUGGUACUGAAAGUUGUAUAUGAAUAUAAUUAAUGUUUUGAUUUGUAGGAAAUAUAGGUUUAUGGCAUAUAGGAGAUUUGUUCAGUGGAUAUGGCAUCGCCUUGGACGUCACAACAGAAAGAUCUUGCCUGCAUGUGUUGUGAAAAAAAUUAGAGACAGUUUCCCAUCUGAAGAAUACUGUGGCUUCAAAUAUGCAGUUGUAUGAAUUAAGUUUGGACUGAUUACUUUUUGUAACUAUUAAUUUUGAAUGAAACACUCGUAUUAAUAAAAACAUUGACUUUUUGUCUUUGCAUAGUAGAUCCUGUUUUUAAGAAUAAAUAAAAUAAUAAAAGUGUACCUUAUACCAUUUUUUUUUAUUGCUAAAUAAAAAAUCAAGGUUGAUAUUUCUUCACAAUAAUCAACAUGAACAAAGCCUGCAUUGUUCAAAACUCAUCAAUAUUAUUCACAUGUAAAAGUUUACACUGAUCAUCCACUGCAU
rnacentral:lncRNA from 1 species